GACGUGGUUGGUGUGUUCUUCA
rnacentral:siRNA from 1 species